UACGUAGGGGGCUAGCGUUGUCCGGAAUCAUUGGGCGUAAAGCGCGCGUAGGCGGCCCGGUAAGUCCGCUGUAAAAGUCCAGGGCUCAACCUUUGAAUGUCAGUGGAUACUGCCGGGCUAGAGUCCGGAAGAGGCGAGUGGAACUCCUGGUGUAGCGGUGGAAUGCGCAGAUAUCGUAAGGAAGACCAGUGGCGAAGGCGGGUCUCUGGACAGUUCCUGACGCUGAGGCACGAAAGCGUGGGUAGCAAAGCAGG
rnacentral:rRNA from 1 species